AUUGAACGCUGGCGGCAGGCCUAACACAUGCAAGUCGAACGGUAACAGGAAACAGCUUGCUGUUUCGCUGACGAGUGGCGGACGGGUGAGUAAUGUCUGGGAAACUGCCUGAUGGAGGGGGAUAACUACUGGAAACGGUAGCUAAUACCGCAUAACGUCGCAAGACCAAAGAGGGGGACCUUCGGGCCUCUUGCCAUCAGAUGUGCCCAGAUGGGAUUAGCUAGUAGGUGGGGUAACGGCUCACCUAGGCGACGAUCCCUAGCUGGUCUGAGAGGAUGACCAGCCACACUGGAACUGAGACACGGUCCAGACUCCUACGGGAGGCAGCAGUGGGGAAUAUUGCACAGUGGGCGCAAGCCUGAUGCAGCCAUGCCGCGUGUAUGAAGAAGGCCUUCGGGUUGUAAAGUACUUUCAGCGGGGAGGAAGGGAGUAAAGUUAAUACCUUUGCUCAUUGACGUUACCCGCAGAAGAAGCACCGGCUAACUCCGUG
rnacentral:rRNA from 1 species